UUUCCCUCUCUUCUAAUUUCUUUUUCCCUCUUCUGAUUUCUUCUUGCUCAACUGAGUUGUCUUCAUGCGCACAUCAUAUUCGACACACAUUAUCAAUGGCGGGAAUGAAUAACAUGGGUUUUAUUUUACCUACAAACUCUACCCAUAUUUUCCCAUGGACUUCACUUACAGGACACAAUUCAUGUAGGGGUUUUCCAAUGGAUGAUAGGGGCAUAACUACAAUCUCCAUUUUCGCUCUUCAUGCCAAGCACAUUCUCCAGAAGCAGGGGUUCUUCCAACGAUUAAGUCCAUGUAGAGUUAAUCGAACGCAUUGAUCAAUUUGAAGAGGCAUGGGAAAGUUAUCUUGGAGUUUAAAAAUCAGUAAAGAAGACUUCAAGGAAGUGCAAAAACACAAAUCACCUUCUCAGUUUGAGUUUCCACAUUCUAUUCUACCAUCUCUUGAGGAAGAGUACGGUCCAUUUCAAUUCAAGCUGCAUUUUAUUUUCUUUUCAUUUAAAUAAUUUAUUGGGUAGAACUUUGCAAGGCUGAUAGUUUAGACUGACACAAUUCUUAGCCGGUGCUCAUAUUUUAGGAGAGACUCACAAGUGCUAUACAUGACACAACAUUGAAUCACCUAAAUUUUCUCUCUUAAAAAUAUGAAAAAAGUUCUCAAUUUAAACUCAA